UCUUAUGGAUGAGCAAAGAAACUGGCUUCUUGAGAUGAAACCUACCCCCAGUGAAGAUGCUGUGAA
rnacentral:pre_miRNA from 1 species